rnacentral:rRNA from 1 species
GACAGAGGGUGCAAACGUUGUUCGGAAUUACUGGGCGUAAAGCGUGUGUAGGCGGCUUUGCAAGUCGGAUGUGAAAGCCCGGGCUCAACCCGGGAAGUGCACUCGAUACUGCGAAGCUUGAGUGUCGGAGAGGUUGGUGGAAUUCUCGGUGUAGAGGUGAAAUUCGUAGAUAUCGAGAGGAACACCGGUGGGCGAAGGCGGCCAACUGGACGAACACUGACGCUGAGACACGAAAGCGUGGGGAGCAAACAGGG